UCGGGGGCGGGACGCUGGACGUCGCCGUCGUCCGCAACGAAGGGCUCGGUCCGGACGGGCGGCCGCGGUUCGAGGUGGCGGCCUCCGGU
rnacentral:tRNA from 1 species